rnacentral:rRNA from 1 species
GCAUAACGCGAAGAACCUUACCAAGGCUUGACAUACACCAGAACACCCUAGAAAUAGGGGACUCUUUGGACACUGGUGAACAGGUGGUGCAUGGUUGUCGUCAGCUCGUGUCGUGAGAUGUUGGGUUAAGUCCCGCAACGAGCGCAACCCUCGUUCUAUGUUGCCAGCACGUAAUGGUGGGAACUCAUGGGAUACUGCCGGGGUCAACUCGGAGGAAGGUGGGGAUGACGUCAAAUCAUCAUGCCCCCUUUAUGUCUUGGGCUUCACGCNUGCUACAAUGGGCCGGUACAAAGGCUGCAAUACCGUGAGGUGGAGCGAAUCCCAAAAAGCCGGUCCCAGUUCGGAUUGAGGUCUGCAACUCGACCUCAUGAAGUC